AGGUGGGCCAUGCCGGUGGUGCUGGGCCUCGAGGGCAGCGCCAACAAGGUGGGCGUCGGCCUGGUGCGCGACGGGCGGGUGCUUAGCAACCCGCGCCGCACCUACGUCACGCCCCCGGGGCAAGGGUUCCUGCCCGGCCACACCGCGCGCCACCACCGCGCCUGCCUGCUGGAGCUGCUGGCCGAGGCGCUGCGCGAGGCCGGCCUGCGCCCCUGCGACGUGGACUGCGUGGCCUUCACCAAAGGGCCGGGCAUGGGCGCGCCGCUGGCGGUGGUGGCGGCGGUGGCGCGGACGGUGGCGCAGCUGUGGGACAAGCCCCUGCUGGGCGUCAACCACUGCGUGGGCCACAUCGAGAUGGGGCGGAUGGUGACGGGCGCCCACGACCCCACCGUGCUCUACGUCAGCGGCGGCAACACGCAGGUCAUCGCGUACUCGCAGCGCCGCUACCGCAUCUUCGGGGAGACCAUCGACAUCGCCGUGGGCAACUGCCUGGACCGCUUCGCCCGCGUGCUCAAGAUCUCCAAUGACCCCAGUCCUGGCUACAACAUCGAGCAGAUGGCAAAAAAAGGUCAGAAGCUGGUGGAGCUGCCCUACACGGUGAAGGGGAUGGAUGUGUCGUUCUCAGGGAUCCUAUCCCACAUAGAGGAAGUGUCUCAUAAGAUGCUGGCAUCAGGAGAGUGCACCCCUGAGGACCUCUGCUUCUCCCUCCAGGAGACGGUGUUUGCGAUGCUGGUGGAGAUCACGGAGCGGGCCAUGGCGCACUGCGGCUCCCAGGAGGUGCUCAUUGUGGGCGGCGUUGGCUGUAACCUGCGGCUGCAGGAGAUGAUGGGGAUCAUGUGUGAAGAGAGAGGGGCCAAGCUGUUUGCAACAGAUGAGAGGAGCUCUCGCCUCUCAUCUCACCCAGGUUCUGUAUUGAUAACGGGGCCAUGAUUGCUCAGGCUGGCUGGGAGAUGUUUCGUUCAGGACAGGUGACCACGCUGGAGGAUUCCUGGAUUACACAAAGGUACCGCACAGAUGAAGUAGAGGUGACCUGGCGUGAUUAACACCUUGGCCAUGCUGAGCAAGGCGGCCUCUGGCAGCAGCUGCUGCACCCAGAGACACUUGGAGUGAGGUGCAGAAGAGGCACAGCUGGGAGCUAUUCCAGUUCGAGGUGCUGGGCUCCCUCCGGGUCCCAGGUUGGGGCUGUUUAAGUUCUGAAUAAAGCAGUUGGCUUUUGUA